rnacentral:rRNA from 1 species
UCCGUAGGUGAACCUGCGGAGGGAUCAUUACAGAGUUGGGGGUAGCUUUGGCUGCCCCGACUUCCCAACCCUAUGGCUUGCUGUAAUCUUGUAUCUUCCGGUUCACUGCUCCGGCAUGCCGGAAGGGAUUUAUUCAAACUCGUUUUUGAACUACUGUCAUCAUUCAAUGAUCAAAAUUGAAUCAAAACUUUCAACAACGGAUCUCUUGGUUCUAGCAUCGAUGAAGAACGCAGCGAAAUGCGAUAAGUAGUAUGAAUUGCAGAAUUCAGUGAAUCAUCGAAUCUUUGAACGCACAUUGCGCCUUUUGGUAUUCCAUGAGGCAUGCCUGUUCGAGCGUUAUUACAAACUCUCAAGGUUAUACUUUGGUAUUGAAUCCCGUCGAAAGGCAGAUUCUAAAAAGAGUCGAGUGUUGUGGAAGCAUACCUCAAGCAACCAAAAACUUAUUGUUUCUGCUUUGAGCAACUUUUACCAUCACUAGUAUCUUUUAUUCCUCAAGUUUAACCUCGGAUCAGGCAAGAAUACCCGCUGAACUUAAGCAUAUCAAUAAGCGGAGGA